GAUGAACGCUAGCGGCAGGCUUAAUACAUGCAAGUCGAGGGGCAGCAUGAGUGUAGCAAUACAUUUGAUGGCGACCGGCAAACGGGCGCGGAACCCGUACACAACCUUCCUAUAAGUGGGGAAUAGCCCAGAGAAAUUUGGAUUAAUACCCCGUAACAUAAUGAUGUGGCAUCACAUUCUUAUUAUAGCUUCGGCGCUUAUUGAUGGGUGUGCGGCUGAUUAGAUAGUUGGCGGGGUAACGGCCCACCAAGUCUACGAUCAGUAGCUGAUGUGAGAGCAUGAUCAGCCACACGGGCACUGGGACACGGGCACGACUCCUACGGGAGGCAGCAGUAAGGAAUAUUGGUCAAUGGACGCAAGUCUGAACCAGCCAUGCCGCGUGAAGGAUUAAGGUCCUCUGGAUUGUAAACUUCUUUUAUCUGGGACGAAAAAAGGCGAUUCUUCGUCAAUUGACGGUACCAGAUGAAUAAGCACCGGCUAACUCCGUGCCAGCCGCCGCCGUAAAAC
rnacentral:rRNA from 1 species